rnacentral:rRNA from 1 species
UACGUAGGGGGCAAGCGUUGUCCGGAUUUAUUGGGCAUAAAGAGCGUGUAGGCGGUCUGGUAGGUCCGUUGUGAAAACUCGAGGCUCAACCUCGAGACGCCGAUGGAAACCAUCAGACUAGAGUCCGGAAGAGGAGAGUGGAAUUCCUGGUGUAGCGGUGAAAUGCGCAGAUAUCAGGAGGAACACCCGUGGCUAAGGCGGCUCUCUAGUACGGUACUGACGCUGAGACGCGAAAGCGUGGGGAGCGAACAGG